AUAAGAAUAAAAAUUCAUUGAAGAUCGAACUCAAUUAUAAAAAUAUCGAUCCUCAGGUAUACUCGAACCUAAUUAUAAAAAGAAGCAAAAAAAAGGAGUCCUAAGCUUCAGCUGAAGUAGGGGCACCUUGCUCAGAGGGAGCUCCUAGCUCGAAAGUUCUCAGCUAUAGGCAAGGACUGGAGGGCAAAAGCAUCUUCUUUAGCUCUCUUCACUUCAUCUCCAUCUUCAUCGUCCUCAUCAUCGACAUCCAGCAAGUUGAAGUCGAUGUUCAGGAAAAGACAUCAAACCCUAGCCUUAAGAUCAGCAAGGCCCUGCAUGUACGACUCCAAAGCGAACUCCAGUUUUAUCUUGGUGAACUCUUCAGAAGAGCAAAACACUUCCACGAUGGCAGCCUUUUCUUGCUCAAGUUUCUUCUCCCAUUGACUUGCUGUCAAUCGAAGCCCUUCAGUCAAUCGAGCUUCAGCCUAGCUUUGAGCCUGUGUGACCUCGAUCUCCAUCAACUUCAACUUAGCCUUCA
rnacentral:lncRNA from 1 species